UAUGUGAUCGUCUCUCGCAUAUCAAUAAGCGGAGGAAAAGAAACUAACAAGGAUUCCCCUAGUAACGGCGAGUGAAGCGGGAAGAGCUCAAAUUUGAAAUCUUAAAGGGUUUCCCUUUACGAAUUGUAGUUUAAGGAAGUGUUUUCUGUUGAGGUUUUGGUAAAAGUUCUUUGGAAUAGGACAUCAUAGAGGGUGAGAAUCCCGUAUUUGACCUUUACUUUCAACUUUGUGAUACACUUUCAAAGAGUCGGAUUGUUUGGGAAUGCAGUCCAAAAUGGGUGGUAAAUUUCAUCUAAAGCUAAAUAUUGGCGAGAGACCGAUAGCGAACAAGUACCGUGAGGGAAAGAUGAAAAGAACUUUGAAAAGAGAGUUAAACAGUACGUGAAAUUGUCAAAAGGGAAGCGUUUGACACCAGUGUUGUUUUUCUGAAAAUCAAUUAAAGAACUGUUUAUGCUAAGUCGUUUAGACUUUAUCAGCUAACUGUUUAGUUUUGAGCUUUUCUUUAAUGCACUUUUCAGUUAACAAGUCAACAUCAAUUUCUUUUGCUGUAAAAAAGCUUGAGGAAGGUGGCUUGAGAUUCGUCUUAAGUGUUUAUAGCCUCUUGCCUAUGCAGUCGGAGAGAUUGAGGUCUGCAGCGUAGAUCCUUCGGGGCUAAAUGCAUUUGUGCUAAGUUAUAGCAUUUUAUAGACAACUUGUUGACUAUGAUUUGUCUUGUAGCUUACCCGCUUAUGUUAUUUUACCUACGCUUAGGAUGUUGAUCUACAGAGCGAGAGU
rnacentral:rRNA from 1 species